rnacentral:rRNA from 1 species
AGCACGCGAACACCCUUACCGGGUCUUGACAUCCUCUGACAACUCUAGAGAUAGAGCGUUCCCCUUCGGGGGACAGAGUGACGGGGGGUGCAUGGUUGUCCUCAGCUCGUGUCGGGAGAUGUUGGGUUAAGCCCCGCAACGAGCGCACCCCUUGAUCUUAUUUGCCAGCUUUUAUUUGGGCACUCUAAGGUGACUGCCGGAGACAAACCGGAGGAGGGGGGGGAUGACCUCAAAUCAUCGUGCCCCUUAUGACCGGGGCUACACACGUGCUACAAUGGAGGGUACAAAGGGCUGCAAGACCGCGGGGUCAAGCCAAUCCCAUAAAACCUUUCUCAGUUGGGAUUGGAGGCUGCAACUCCCCUACAUGAAGCUGGAAUCGCUAGUAAUCGCGGAUCAGCAUGCCGCGGUGAAUACUUUCCCGGCUUUUGCACACAACCCCCCG